rnacentral:rRNA from 1 species
AUUGAACGCUGGCGGCAGGCCUAACACAUGCAAGUCGAGCGGAUGAAGGGAGCUUGCUCCUGGAUUCAGCGGCGGACGGGUGAGUAAUGCCUAGGAAUCUGCCUGGUAGUGGGGGAUAACGUCCGGAAACGGGCGCUAAUACCGCAUACAUCCUGAGGGGGAAAGUGGGGGAUCUUCGGACCUCACGCUAUCAGAUGAGCCUAGGUCGGAUUAGCUAGUUGGUGGGGUAAAGGCCUACCAAGGCGACGAUCCGUAACUGGUCUGAGAGGAUGAUCAGUCACACUGGAACUGAGACACGGUCCAGACUCCUACGGGAGGCAGCAGUGGGGAAUAUUGGACAAUGGGCGAAAGCCUGAUCCAGCCAUGCCGCGUGUGUGAAGAAGGUCUUCGGAUUGUAAAGCACUUUAAGUUGGGAGGAAGGGCAGUAAGUUAAUACCUUGCUGUUUUGACGUUACCAACAGAAUAAGCACCGGCUAACUUCGUG